rnacentral:rRNA from 1 species
UUAACCUCAGAUCAGGUAAGAUUACCCGCUGAA